GACGAACGCUGGCGGCGUGCUUAACACAUGCAAGUCGAACGAUGAAGCAGGAGCUCGCUCCGGUGGAUUAGUGGCGAACGGGUGAGUAACACGUGAGCAAUCUGCCCUUGACUCUGGGAUAACUGCGUGAACCUGUAGCUAAUACCGGAUACGACACCUUGGCGAAUCCCAGGGUGUGGAAAGAAUUUCGGUCAAGGAUGAGCUCGAGGGCUAUCAGCUAGUUGGUGAGGUAAUGGCUCACCAAGGCGACGACGGGUAGCCGGCCUGAGAGGGUGACCGGCCACACUGGAACUGAGACACGGUCCAGACUCCUACGGGAGGCAGCAGUGGGGAAUAUUGCACAAUGGGCGAAAGCCUGAUGCAGCAACGCCGCGUGAGGGAUGAAGGCCUUCGGGUUGUAAACCUCUUUUAGCAGGGAAGAAGCGAAAGUGACGGUACCUGCAGAAAAAGCACCGGCUAACUACGUGCCAGCAGCCGCCGUAA
rnacentral:rRNA from 1 species